AAGCNGUNUCAGUUCGGAUCGCACUCUNCAACUCGAGUGCGUGAAGUUGGAAUCGCUAGUAAUCGCGGAUCAGCACGCCGCGGUGAAUACGUUCCCGGGCCUUGUACACACCGCCCGUCACACCAUGGGAGUUGGCUUUACCCGAAGGUGGUGCGCUAACCUCGCAAGAGGAGGCAGCCAACCACGGUAAGUCAGCGA
rnacentral:rRNA from 1 species